UACGGAGGGGGCUAGCGUUGUUCGGAAUUACUGGGCGUAAAGCGCACGUAGGCGGCUUUGUAAGUUAGAGGUGAAAGCCCAGGGCUCAACCCUGGAAUUGCCUUUAAGACUGCAUCGCUUGAACAUCGGAGAGGUAAGUGGAAUUCCGAGUGUAGAGGUGAAAUUCGUAGAUAUUCGGAAGAACACCAAGUGGCGAAGGCGACUUACUGGCCCGAUACUGACGCUGAGGCACGAAAGCGUGGGGAGCAAACAGG
rnacentral:rRNA from 1 species